rfam:Verticillium longisporum isolate VL1 genome assembly, contig: scaffold_364
CCGGAGUGGGACCACUUAUCGAAUUCACCUCUUGCCUUUUACCAGAUGUGACCGUUAGUUGGCCCAAAAGACUCCAUUCCCUCAAUCUUUGGAUACCACCGAACCCGAGUUCGAUU